rnacentral:lncRNA from 1 species
AUGUUAUGGAUUCAAACCAUUACAAGCGGGCUACCAGGAAUUCGGUCGGUAUCAUUUCAGUUAGACACUUGGACUAAUUAUUUGGACGUUCGGAGGUUAAGGAAAAAACCUUGAUAAAUUAAGGGUGUAGCCAAUGGCAGAACUAGAAGAUAAAUUCAGGAGUAUCCUGAUUUUUUUUACCUAAGGUCCCCUUAGGGGCCCUGUGCAGCUAGUAAAAAUAGACCAUUAAAAUUUUCUUUUGCCUGGUCAUUGUUGUGUGGCUAGUAAAUAUAUAUUUACUUAGGGUUACAAACGCUUGUGCAAACUUUUUGAAAGGUGGCUAGUAAAUAUAUAUUUACUUUGUCAAUGUCAAUAACUUGACCUCUUUAUGUCACGAUGCAUAACUUGUGUUAUAAAAUAACACAAAUGUGAAUGUAAUUCAAUGCGGACUGAACACUUAUCGUUUUCUUGACUCUUUGCAUCUAAUAUAGAGUAUACCUGUCCCUAACUUGAAACUGAGAUUUAGAGCUUUUGACAUCACGAUGUAUGACUUUGUAUUGAGUGUCAAUAAACAUGUGAAGGUAGUUCAAUCCCGUUAACACCAUUAUGAAGGUAGUCUAGUCCACUUUAAACUCAUGUUAUACGCUGACCACAAUUUACGACACAUGAAGGUUUGUUCACCUUAUCAGAUCUUGUAUUUCUCAUUCCAUCAUCAAAAACUUUGAAUGCAACACUCACCUCUGUAACUGAUGAUAACAAGUUGCCACCACCAUUAUUAUCACCAAAUAGAUACUGCAU